UUGACUUUUUUGGUUCUUCAUAAAUAUCACUGCCAGGACUUGACUGUUUUUGGGUUCUUCAUAAAUAUCACUGCCAGGACUUGACUGUUUUGGGUUCUUCAUAAAUAUCACUGCCAGGACUUGACUGUUUUUGGGUUCUUCAUAAAUAUCACUGCCAGGACUUGACUGUUUUGGGUUCUUCAUAAAUAUCACUGCCAGAACUUGACUGUUUUGUGUUCUUGAUAAAUAUCACUGCCAGGACUUGACUGUUUUGGGUUCUUCAUAAAUAUCACUGCCAGGACUUGACGUUUUUAGGUUCUUCAUAAAUAUCACUGCCAGGACUUGACGUUUUUAGGUUCUUCAUAAAUAUCACUGCCAGAACUUGAUGUUUUUAGGUUCUUCAUAAAUAUCACUGCCAGGACUUGACUGUUUUGGGUUCUUCAUAAAUAUCACUGCCAGGACUUGACUGUUUUGGGUUCUUCGUAAAUAUCACUGCCAGGACUUGACUGUUUUGGGUUCUUCAUAAAUAUCACUGCCAGGACUUGACUGUUUUGGGUUCUUCAUAAAUAUCACUGCCAGAACUUGACUGUUUUGGGUUCUUCAUAAAUAUCACUGCCAGGACUUGACGUUUUUAGGUUCUUCAUAAAUAUCACUGCCAGGACUUGACGUUUUUAGGUUCUUCAUAAAUAUCACUGCCAGGACUUGAUGUUUUUAGGUUCUUCAUAAAUAUCACUGCCAGGACUUGACGUUUUUAGGUUCUUCAUAAAUAUCACUGCCAGGACUUGACUGUUUUGGGUUCUUCAUAAAUAUCACUGCCAGAACUUGACGUUUUUAGGUUCUUCAUAAAUAUCACUGCCAGGACUUGACUGUUUUGGGUUCUUCAUAAAUAUCACUGCCAGGACUUGACGUUUUUAGGUUCUUCAUAAAUAUCACUGCCAGGACUUGACUGUUUUGGGUUCUUCGUAAAUAUCACUGCCAGGACUUGAGUUUUUUGGGUUCUUCAUAAAUAUCACUGCCAGGACUUGACUGUUUUUAGGUUCUUCAUAAAUAUCACUGCCAGGACUUGACUGUUUUUAGGUUCUUCAUAAAUAUCACUGCCAGGACUUGACUGUUUUUAGGUUCUUCAUAAAUAUCACUGCCAGGACUUGACUGUUUUUAGGUUCUUCAUAAAUAUCACUGCCAGGACUUGACUGUUUUUAGGUUCUUCAUAAAUAUCACUGCCAGGACUUGACUGUUUUUA